UUCGGAUUGUAGUCUGCAACCCGACUACAUGAAGCUGGAAUCGCUAGUAAUCGCGGAUCAGAAUGCCGCGGUGAAUACGUUCCCGGGUCUUGUACACACCGCCCGUCACACCAUGGGAGUCGGAAAUGCCCGAAGUCUGUGACCUAACCGCAAGGGAGGAGCAGCCGAAGGCAGGUCGGAUGACUGGGGUGAAGUCGUAACAAGGUACC
rnacentral:rRNA from 1 species